UACGUAGGGCGCAAGCGUUGUCCGGAAUUAUUGGGCGUAAAGAGCUCGUAGGCGGUUUGUCGCGUCUGCUGUGAAAACCUGAGGCUCAACCUUGGGCUUGCAGUGGGUACGGGCAGACUAGAGUGCGGUAGGGGUGACUGGAAUUCCUGGUGUAGCGGUGGAAUGCGCAGAUAUCAGGAGGAACACCGACGGCGAAGGCAGGUCACUGGGCCGCAACUGACGCUGAGGAGCGAAAGCAUGGGGAGCGAACAGG
rnacentral:rRNA from 1 species